CCCAUUGGUCCAGGUGAGAAGAAGAGGUCGUUGGGGCGUGACUACCACCCUCUGUGUCUGAAGUGUCAACAGUGUCAGAGACAGUUGACCCCAGGACAACAUGCAGAGCAUGAUGAGAAGCCCUACUGCACUAACUGUUACAUGAAGACGUUCGGUCCCAGAGCAGGUAAGGGGAGAAUGAUGUCAUACUGUCACAGCUCAGCCUCCUCUUCCUCUUCCUCCUCCUAGGAACCAGUCUAAC